UAGUUGCGGACUCGCAUUCUCGUAGAGUCUGAGGAAAGUCCGGGCUCCCGAAAGGCCAAACUUGCUGGGUAACGCCCAGUGCGGGUGACCGUGAGGAUAGUGCCACAGAAAUAUACCGCCUUCUCAAGUCUGAGGGAUAAAGGAUGAAAUUUCAGAUUUCUUACUUUACACUUCAUACGUUGUUGAGGGUAAGGGUGCAAAGGUGCGGUAAGAGCGCACCAGCAGCAUCGAGAGGUGCUGGCUCGGUAAACCCCGGUUGGGAGCAAGGUCGUAGGAACUACGGUUGGUCUUUUCCCAGUUCCGCUGACAAGAACCGCUAGAGG
rnacentral:RNase_P_RNA from 1 species